UACUCCUAUGAAUACAUGCUUCCGAAACUAUACAUGUUUUGGAAACCACGGCUAACCCAGACUGUUACCGGGACCGGGAAAAUUCCACUAUUCACGGGACUAGUAGACACUAGCAACACAUUAACAUUAGUAUCAAGUAUCAAAAUCUCUUAGCCCGACUUUACUACACUAUCGGUAAUACCGCCACGUGCCAAUUUGAACAGCUGCAGGGCUAAUAUGGUCGGCUCGUUAUCAUUUGUCACCAUACCUGUCACGUUCUAAGUAUGUAAGUGCGAAAGUGACGGGCAAGGUGACAAGCGAUAAAAAUGGAACCAUGCUGCCACUGCUGCGCUCGUAAAACAAUUGGUAAACAAUAGAUAAAGAUAUUUUAUUAUUCAAGUAGGCAUAUUAACAAUGCAAUAUGCCUACUUGAAUAAUAGGCAAUGCGCUUAUGAAUGUCAAAUAAAGCUACACCGACUCUAACCCUACACCUCUGACCCGAGAAGAUUUAAAUCCCCCCUCAAUUGGAGGAGGCUAUCCCAAUGGGGGUUAUUUGCUGCCCACCAUAAAACAUACUAAAAUUUACGUUGGGGAAUAGAAAAAAAGAGACUCUGACCUGGACAAACAAUUAUAGCGCUUUCUCUGUUACUCCUACUGAAAGUUCCAUAAAAGCAUCUCGUUUGGUAAUUUGCCGGCUCUAACAUUUCAUAUCUAUACUUAUUUUAUCUCUAUGAGUUAGAGCCAUAUUAGGUGUUUUUCUAGCACUUAUUGCUGUGUGUGACAUGACAUCGAUACAAAAUUUAAAAAUCAGAAUCGUCCUCCUAAAGUCUCUACAUCUUUAGUUUACAGUAAACAAAAGCACCCAAAAUUAGGUUAAGCCGUGUAGGUGGCGGUUGACACGCGAACAAGUCACCCAUUAAGUCCUUAAGUCUGAUUUGCUUCGCGGGCGUUUAGAGAAGAAAAUAGGUCACUCAUUUACUUAUACACCGUGUUUUUUUGAUUUCCGUUAAUUUCAAGGGUGCAUUCCUGAGCUUAAAUUAAGCAACUUUUCCAAAGACACCGAUAUUCUAAUCAGCUCCAUAUCGAUAUUUUAUUUUUAUCUGAUAAGGCACGAGCGUGUACACUUGCCUUAGGGCUUUACAUAUUGAUUAGUGUUAAGUACGAGUAUAUACAUUUGCUACUUAACGUAAGUAUUAUCUCGGACGAUCGAUGUUCGAAAUGACAUUGAUAUGUCACAGUU